rnacentral:rRNA from 1 species
UACGGAGGGUGCGAGCGUUGUCCGGAAUUACUGGGCGUAAAGCGCGCGUAGGCGGACCUGCAAGUCGGGGGUGAAAGCCCGAGGCUCAACCUCGGAACUGCCUUCGAUACUGCGGGUCUCGAGUCCGGGAGAGGUGAGUGGAAUUCCUAGUGUAGAGGUGAAAUUCGUAGAUAUUAGGAAGAACACCAGUGGCGAAAGCGACUUCCUGGACCAAUACUGACGCUCAUGUGCGAAAGCGUGGGGAGCAAACAGG